rnacentral:rRNA from 1 species
UACAGAGGUCUCAAGCGUUGUUCGGAUUCAUUGGGCGUAAAGGGUGCGUAGGCGGCGCGGUAAGUCUGAUGUUAAAGAUCAGGGCUCAACCCUGGGACUGCAUUGGAUACUGGCAGACUGGAGUGUGGUAGAGGUAAGUGGAAUUUCUGGUGUAGCGGUGAAAUGCGUAGAUAUCAGGAAGAACACCAGUGGCGUAGGCGACUUACUGGGCCAUAACUGACGCUGAGGAACGAAAGCCAGGGGAGCAAAUGGG